rnacentral:rRNA from 1 species
AAAACAUCGCCUCCUGCAACACAGCCAAGUAUAGGAGGUCCAGCCUGCCCAGUGACUGCAAGUUCAACGGCCGCGGUAUUUUGACCGUGCAAAGGUAGCGCAAUCACUUGUCUUUUAAAUAGAGACCUGUAUGAAUGGCUAAACGAGGGCUUAACUGUCUCCCCUUUCAAGUCAGUGAAAUUGAUCUACCCGUGCAGAAGCGGGUAUAAUUAUACAAGACGAGAAGACCCUUUGGAGCUUAAGGUACAAAACUCAACCACGUUAAGCAACUCAAUGAAAAGCAAAAACUUUAUGGAAUAUGAUAUUUUACCUUCGGUUGGGGCGACCGCGGAAGAAAAAAGAUCCUCCGAGUGGACCGGGACAAACCUCCUAAAACCAAGAGAAACACCUCUAAGCCACAGAACAUCUGACCAAACAUGAUCCGGCCAAAAAGCCGAUCAACGAACCAAGUUACCCUAGGGAUAACAGCGCAAUCCUCUCCCAGAGUCCAUAUCGACGAGGGGGUUUACGACCUCGAUGUUGGAUCAGGACAUCCUAAUGGUGCAGCCGCUAUUAAGGGUUCGUUUGUUCAACGAUUAAAGUCCUACGUGA